rnacentral:rRNA from 1 species
AUUGAACGCUGGCGGCAGGCCUAACACAUGCAAGUCGAGCGGCAGCGGAAAGUAGCUUGCUACUUUGCCGGCGAGCGGCGGACGGGUGAGUAAUGUCUGGGAAACUGCCUGAUGGAGGGGGAUAACUACUGGAAACGGUAGCUAAUACCGCAUAACGUCGCAAGACCAAAGAGGGGGACCUUCGGGCCUCUUGCCAUCAGAUGUGCCCAGAUGGGAUUAGCUAGUAGGUGGGGUAACGGCUCACCUAGGCGACGAUCCCUAGCUGGUCUGGGAGGAUGACCAGCAACACAGGAACUGGGACACGGUCCAGACUCCUACGGGAGGCAGCAGUGGGGAAUAUUGCACAAUGGGCGCAAGCCUGAUGCAGCCAUGCCGCGUGUAUGAAGAAGGCCUUCGGGUUGUAAAGUACUUUCAGCGGGGAGGAAGGUGUUGAGGUUAAUAACCUCAGCAAUUGACGUUACCCGCAGAAGAAGCACCGGCUAACUCCGUGCCAGCAGCCGCCGUAACAC